CGCUAAUACCGCAUAUUCUGUGCGCAGGAAAGCAGGGGGAUCGCAAGACCUUGCGCUGAUUGAGCGGCCGAUAUCAGAUUAGCUAGUUGGUGAGGUAAAGGCUCACCAAGGGCGACGAUCUGUAGCGGGUCUGAGAGGAUGAUCCGCCACACUGGAACUGAGACACGGUCCCAGACUCCUACGGGAGGCAGCAGUGGGGAAUUUUGGACAAUGGGGGCAACCCUGAUCCAGCCAUGCCGCGUGAGUGAAGAAGGCCUUCGGGUUGUAAAGCUCUUUCGGCCGGGAAGAAAUCGUAUCAGCUAAUACCUGGUGCGGAUGACGGUACCGGCAUUAAGAAGCACCGGCUAACUACGUGCCAGCAGCCGCGGUAAUACGUAGGGUGCGAGCGUUUAAUCGGAAUUACUGGGC
rnacentral:rRNA from 1 species